UCUCCGUAGGUGAACCUGCGGAGGGAUCAUUACAGAGUUCAUGCCCUACCGGUUCUAUCUCCCACCCUAUGUUUUUAUUACUUUGUUGCUUUGGCGGGCCGUUAGGCUCCGGCCCUACUACCAGCCCCGGCUGGUAAGCGCCGGCCAGAGGAUCCAAAACCCUGAAUCUUAGCGUCGUCUGAGUACUAUCUAAUAGUUAAAACUUUCAACAACGGAUCUCUUGGUUCUG
rnacentral:misc_RNA from 1 species